GUAAGCUCACACCUGAUUUCUCCUGGACUCUUCCCUACGUGUCUUUUAAUUUUGCUGAUUUUAAUCUGAAUCCUUUCAUUGUGAUAAACUGUAACUUAUUUGAUGGGUCUGAAUGAAAAUCUGAUGAAACAGAUGUUACUUGAAGCUGAGUGACUUUCUCAGGGUCAAGCAAAUAAGUAAAUGGAGGAGCCAGAAUUAUACCCCAGGAUCCCCAUCACAAGGAGGGGAGGGCUACCAUCCCAGCUGCAAACUCUCAUUCAAGGUUUAUGCUGCAGCCAGCAGUGUCCUUGGAGUCUAGUUCAAAGCUGAAGAGAGUGAACCAUGGAACUGGGAGCCAUUGGCGGAGAGGCUGGCCUGAAGGAAGGGAAGUGUUUCAGCCAGAAUGUACUGACGCACAACCAGGAAACCACAAGACUGGUGAGAACCUUUCCAAAACUGAGCUUUAUGAUCAAAAGAGGUACAGGAAACAGCUCUGCCAAGAGUCCUUUCUGCUCCUGGCUGGAACCCUGAGCUUCUGAGGCUCUCUGAGUCAACUCUCUGAACAGAUGCUGUCACCCAAGGAACCAUCACUAAAGCAUUUUUUUGCUUUGCUCUGAGGUGGCCUCACUGGUGGGUGCAAGUGAGUUACUGUCUCUUUUUCUCUUUCUUGUUUCUUUCUUUUGACAGAAGUUGCCAUGUGAUUACUCAAUUCUGAAUUUUAGAGGCCAUAGGUUACUGCAUUUAUGCCCUUUGCCAACUGACUAUUGUUUGGUGCUGGGCCUGCAUACAAACACGACAUCCCCAAACUCUUAUCAAUACCUAGAUCACCUGAUGUGAAUCUAUCAAUACCCUGGACUUAACAGGGUAUUGAAGGAAAGAGAACCGGCAAUUCCUUCAUUUCUUACAUCCCAGCCAGUAGUCCUUCUCCCAGGCUAGUCUUCCUUUUGUUUCCCCUAAGAAUGACUCAACUAGGAAUUGCAUUCUGAUCCCUGUCACAGAUAUAAAUCUUGUCUGGAUACAAGGUCAAAAUAAUUGUGUUCCUGUGGAUUCUUUUUCUUUUUUCAACCAGAGUAACUACCAGUUGCCAUGAAAUAAAUCACAUCAUCAUAUGGCAGAUCCAGCUAAUAGCUGAGACUGGCAGGAUAACUGAACCGUGUACUCAGAGCUAAAUGAUGGAGAAAUUGGACUGGCCAUGGAGCACUUCAAAUUGAUUGCUUAGUAAUGGGAUAUUUUUCCUGGAAAGACAACAGAAUACUUCUGAAUUGUUGGUUCUGUCAUGGGUACAGGCUCCCAUGUACAGGAAAAUAAAGAAAGUGUGAUGAAUUUUUCAUCUGGCCUUCUGCCUACUUUCUUGCUUUCUGCAUGUCUCCAUUUUUAGUCUGUAAGCCCUGCCUAGAUGACCAAUCACUAUUGCCCAUGUGGCAUAAAACCUACAAUUUAACUAUACUUCUUACCAAACUCUCAGCAAGUAUGAGGUAGCCAACAGCCUUUUCAAGAUAAUGACUGAGUCUUAGCUUAGGUUUCAGUCAUUUUAGGAAACAUAAAAAAUUCAAUGGUGGGAGAUCAUACACACUCUGCAAAGAUGUCAGAAGUCAAGUUUUGGGAGAGUCCACACACAAACUGAGCAGUGAUGGUAAAAUAUAUUUUUGAAAUAUUUCUCCUCUGUGACUGUUAUGUGAAGUAGAGCAAACACAUUGUGCUGCAGUGCUCUUUGGGACAUGCCUUUUUUGGGAAGUGCUAACUUUAUACUCUGCUGACACCAAACAUUUGAAUAUAAAACCUUAUUUUUUUCUCUCACUCUGCUCCACUUUUGGCUCAGCUUAUUCUACCAAAACACACUUCAAAAGACUUCUUUAUAGAAAGAAUGUUUCAAAAAUAUAAUAUUUCCAUCUGUUAUUUCAAUAAUACAUGCUCUGGGACUCUCUUUAUGAACCACUUUCCUUUCUUUGCUCCCAUUUAGAUGUAUAAAUAUUUGAUUGUAAAGCUCUAAGGAAUAGUCAGCCAAUCGGGUCACUGAAUUGUGAACAUUCCUAACCCUAUAAUUUUGUCUGUAGCAGGCACCUCCUGCUGUGGAACUAACUGCUAAGGGAUUAUAGCAAUGUAAUCCUCAGACUGUUCCAUCUCAAGGUUACUCUGAAGUGGAGGGAAGGAAGCCGUUUUAAUUUUGAUAAAAUAAACUUUAUUUUGUAACUUUAUUAUUUGUUUUUCUUUUUCCUUUCAACACUUCAUAAUAGAUGUGUCUGGUAAUUUGAAGUUAGCCUCUCUGGUUGAGGUGCCCUAAACCACCUCGUAUUAUUGUA
rnacentral:lncRNA from 1 species